rnacentral:tRNA from 1 species
GGUGGUAUAGCUCAGUUGGUAGAGUGCUUGUCUUGCAUGCACAAGGCCCUGGGUUCAAACCCCAGCACCACCA